GAUGAACGCUAGCUACAGGCUUAACACAUGCAAGUCGAGGGGUUUGCUUCGGCAAACGACCGGCGCACGGGUGAGUAACGCGUAUCCAACCUGCCAUUCAUAUUGGGAUAGCCCUCCGAAAGGAGGAUUAAUACCGAAUAACAUAUUGUUGUUGCAUGAUAUCAAUAUGAAAGCUGAGGCGAUGAAUGAUGGGGAUGCGUUCCAUUAGGUAGUAGGCGGGGUAACGGUCCCACCUAGCCAACGAUGGAUAGGGGUUCUGAGAGGAAGGUCCCCCACACUGGAACUGAGACACGGUCCAGACUCCUACGGGAGGCAGCAGUGAGGAAUAUUGGACAAAUGGAUGGAAAUCUGAUCCAGCCAUGCCGCGUGCAGGAUGACGGCCCUAUGGGUCUUAAACUGCUUUUGUAUGGGAGCAAUAAGUUCUACGUGUAGAGUGAUGAGAGUACCAUACGAAUAAGCAUCGGCUAACUCCGU
rnacentral:rRNA from 1 species